ACGCUAAUACCGCAUACUACCUGAGGGUGAAAGCGGGGGAUCGCAAGACCUCUCGCGAUUGGAGCGGCCGAUGGCAGAUUAGGUAGUUGGUGGGGUAAAGGCCUACGCGGCGUGGGAUCUGUAUCUGGUCUGAGAGGACGACCACCCACACUGGGACUGACACACGGCCCACACUCCUACGGGAGGCAGCAGUGGGGAAUUUUGGACAAUGGGCGCAAGCCUGAUCCAGCCAUACCGCGUGCGGGAAGAAGGCCUUCGGGUUGAAAACCGCUUUUGUCAGGGAAGAAAUCUUCUGGGCUAAUACCUCGGGAGGAUGACGGUACCUGAAGAAUAAGCACCGGCUAACUACGUGCCAGCCCCCGCGGUAAUACGUAGGGUGCAAGCGUUAAUCGGAAUUACUGGGCGUAAAGCGUGCGCAGGCGGUUCCAUAAGACAGAUGUGAAAUCCCCGGGCUCAACCUGGGAACUGCAUUUGUGACUGUGGGGCUA
rnacentral:rRNA from 1 species